rnacentral:lncRNA from 1 species
CCAUCUGCCUUGUUGAGGAUCCAAGUAGUUACCCUUUCCCUGGAUUUUCAUUUUUACAAUGGACUGCAACUAUUGUAAGGUUUAUAAAAUUGAGUUUGUACCUGAAGUUAUACAAAGUCAAGGUAGGAUUUAACUCUCCGUGGAGUACAAUUGAAAUCCUACAAAAUUCAAGUGUAUGCAGACAUCAUGAUUGAUUUACACAAUGAUAUAAUCUAACUCUAAACAUAUGGGUUGUAUUCUACACUAUAACGUACUCCCUCUGGUCACAUUUAUAAGUAAAAACUUAACAUUUUAGGUUCAUUGAAUAACUAAUGUAUUUAGUCACAUUUAUAGACCGGAUUCAUUAGUCAUUCAAUGAAUCUAAAAAGUUCUAUUUUGCUUAUAAAUGUGAUCGAAGGGAGUAUGUUAUUUUCCUCACUAUUAUCUACGAGGAUUUGCAAUGAAUAUUUUUCACAUGUUCCAAAUUUUCCUUAGAACAGUCAUUUUUUCUUUUCUCUCUUCCGGGAAUGUUAAAAUUGAUUCAUCUCACAAUGACUUUAGUCUUCAAAUAUUCAUUGAUGGUCCAACAUGAACCCAAAAUUUCAUAGGUCCAUUUUAAACGAAACCUUCAUUGAUUUAGAUUAAGCCAAUUUUCAUUGUUGGUCGAUAUGAUGAGAACAAUACAAAUCUAGAAGGGGUGAGUAAUUUCCCUCUAAAAAUUUAGAAUUGGGUUUUUAAAAACUACUUUUGCAAAUCAAUAUGACUAUUAGAAAUAUGACUUAGUACUAAGAUUACAAAAUUAAAACAACGAACACAAUAAUAUUAAUUUUGAACAAGAGAUUCACAAUUGAUUUAAUGUUACACAAUCAAAUAUCAAUCACUUAAUUACAAACCCUAAUUAUUCUCAAAUCAAUCCUGAAACUUAAACAGGAAAUUACUACUAAUUGAAAUCACAAAACUUGUUCAUUGAUGAAUUCAUAAGCAAAUAAAUUUCUAAUAUGUUAAGUGAUUGGAUAACUAUUUUAAAUUCAAUGUUCUUCAAACAAAACGAGUUCAUUAUAAUGCUAUUAAUCACUUAACACAUAUUCAUUUUAAACUUAUCACAAUUCUUCAAUUAAUAAGCCAAAACUUGCAGAAAUUCAAAGGUAAGGGAGAAGAAUACACCGAAUUUAUAGUGGUUUCCCAAAUCGUCCUCGUUAUGGGGUAUAUCCACUCUUUGUAGAAUUUUUUUUGGCCUUCUACUAUGAUUGAGUGUUUGCACAAUGUACUACAUGGUUUUAUUAGAAGUAAUUAACAAAGCUUUUGACUUGAUCCAAGUCCAAGAUCCACGAACUUAACACCUAAGUACUUCAAAUCUUCAAUCCCACGAGAUCCCUUAACAAUCUUUGUUAAGAUUCCUUCUUUCACAUAAGUUCUUUUGAUUUCCUUAGGAAUUAAUGAACUAGAAAAAUCCCUAGCUUGUAAAGGAGAAAAGAAUGCCUUCUUGUUUCCUUUAGAACUUUGAGCAUUUCAAAUUUCUUGAAAGAUUCAAACCAUUACAUAACCUAAAAUUGUCCAUCUAAUCCAAGACCCAAAUUCUCACAAUGAACUAUGAAGAAUGUUUUCUUAUGGUAUUUGAGAGAAGGAGAGAAUAGCGAAUAGUAAUGAAUGAAACCAGUAAAUAGGUCAAAUUUUAGGUUUAAUCACUCUUGAGAAGGUAUUGGCCUAGUCCCCCUUCUCUUUUUUGUAUCAAUCUUUUUUAAUAUAUCUUUUUAGGGUUGUUGGCUCCUUGCUACAAUCCUAGUUUAAAAAAAAAAAAAAAAAAAAAGAAAGAGAGCCAUUGAGUUAUAUAGCUAAGCAAUAUAACUAGGAGAACCUUUGGCUUGAAUCAGAUUAGAAAUCAAGUUUUGGUUCCUUGAAAGCUAAGAAACCUUUAGAAAAUAUCGUCUUAGUAUUAUUACUAGCUCCUUGAAUUUCCUUGUCUCUCAUGAUUUUAGGAAAGGUAAUUAGUGUGCUGACAUCCUUGCCAACAUAUACUCUUUCCUCUAGUCUCUUAACUAUUUGGUUAGAUAUCCCUAACUGUCUCAAAGCUACUUUUGCACAAAACAAGUUAUUAUGAAUGCCUAACUUUAGAUUUGUAUAUCACUAAGGAGGUUUUGGUCUACUCUCCCUCCUUUUCUUUGAUAUUAUCCUGGUUAAUAUAUUUUGGUAGUUUAGCACUUUGCUACGCUACCCUCUUUUUGUCAAAAAACGAAAAAUAUCGCAAUGCAUCAUAGUCCAUGUUUGUGCAAAAUGAGUUAUUUUUCUCAAUCUUCAUACAUUCUCAAGCUCAUGUAAGGUAACCUAAUUUCAACCAUUUAAACUAAAACCAUGAUAUACAUAUAAACCACGAUAUCAUACACACAGACAAAGCGCUAAAGGUGUUACAUUUCUUGCGUUUAUUUUCAGUUUAAAAUACUUCAAUUUUUUUCUGAUAAUUUUAUUAUAUAUUCAUAAUGAAAUCAUUCAAACAUUAUGCAUAACUCAGAAAUAAAUAUUUUAUCAAACUAAAUAUUUCACCUUUCGUAACGUUUCCUUUUUUUAUCAUGUAUAAGGCUAUAUGGAAACACUAUAAUAAGAAUAACUUCUUAUUAUUGGGAAUUUUUUAUGGGACCUCUUUACUAAGCAUGGUGAAGGGACAAACAUGUAC